UCGGUUGAUCCUGCCGGAGGCUACCGCUAUUGGAGUUCGAUUAAGCCAUGCGAGUCCAGAGCUUUCGGAGCUCGGCGUACCGCUCAGUAACACGUGGGUAACCUAACCUAUGCAGGGGAAUAACCUCGGGAAACUGAGAAUAAUGCCCCAUAGUCCACUACGCCUGGAACGGUGAGUGGAUGAAAGCUCAGGCGGCAUAGGAUGGGCCUGCGGCGUAUCAGGUUGUAGGGGGUGUAAAGUACCCUCUAGCCCUCUACGCGUACGGGUGUUGGGAGACAUAGCCCGGAGAUGGAUUCUGAGACACGAAUCCAGACCCUACGGGGUGCAGCAGGCGCGAAAACUUGGCAAUGCGAGCAAUCGUGACCAGGGAACUCCAAGUGGCUGGGGUAAGACCCAGUCUUUUCAGAACUCUUCAAAGGUUUUAGAAUAAGGGGUGGGUAAGGACGGUGCCAGCCGCCGCGGUAAUACCGGCGCCUCAAGUGGUAGUCGCUUUUAUUGGGCCUAAAACGUCCGUAGCCGGUUUGGUACAUUCGUGGGUAAAUCAACUCGCUCAACGAGUUGAAUUCUGCGAGGACGGCCAGACUUGGGACCGGGAGAGGUGUGGGGUACUCUCAGGGUAGGGGUAAAAUCCUGUCAUCCUGAGAGGACCACCUGUUGCGAAGGCGCCACACUAGAACGGAUCCGACGGUCAGGGACGAAGCCUAGGGGCACGAACCGGAUUAGAUACCCGGGUAGUCCUAGGUGUAAACGCUGUGGACUUGAUGUUGGAGGAGCUCCGAGCUCUUUCAGUGUCGAAGCGAAGGUGAUAAGUCCACUGCCUGGGAAGUACGGUCGCAAGGCUGAAACUUAAAGGAAUUGGCGGGGGAGCACCGCAACCUGAGGAUUGUGCGGUUUAAUUGGAUUCA
rnacentral:rRNA from 1 species